GUCCACGCCCUAAACGAUGUCAACUAGGUGUUGGGAGGGUAAAACCUUUUAGUACCGGAGCUAACGCGUGAAGUUGACCGCCUGGGGAGUACGGCCGCAAGGUUAAAACUCAAAGGAAUUGACGGGGACCCGCACAAGCGGUGGAUGAUGUGGAUUAAUUCGAUGCAACGCGAAAAACCUUACCUACCCUUGACAUGUCUAGAAGCUCUUAGAGAUUUGAGUGUGCCCGAAAGGGAGCUAGAACACAGGUGCUGCAUGGCUGUCGU
rnacentral:rRNA from 1 species